UUCACGUAGCAUUAUGUUUUCAAGGUUCAUCCAUGAUGUGGGCUCACAAACUAAGAGUGGUGUCGUGGACAGAAUAAUGCCCCCCCCCCCCAGAUAUUUAUAUUCUAAUUCCAGUACUUGUGAAUGUUACCUUACAAAGCAAACUUUGAACAUGUUUCGGAUCUUGAGAUUGGGAAAUUAUUCUGGAUUAUUUGGGUGGGUCCAAGGCCAUCAUAGAAAGGAGGCAAGAGAGUCAGAGAAGAUGUGAUGACAGAAGCAGAAGUUGGAGUGACACACUUUGAAGAUGGAGGAAGGGGCCAUGAGCCAAGAAAUCCGGGCCACUUCCCAGAAGUUGGAAAAGGCAAGGAAAUAUAAUACCCUGUAGAGCUUUCAAAAGGAACACAGCCCUGCUGACACCUUGAUGUAGCCAAAUAUAACCCAAUUGGACUUCCGACUUCCAGAGAAUAAAUAUGUUAUUUUAAGC